rnacentral:rRNA from 1 species
CCUACGGGCGGCAGCAGUGAGGAAUAUUGGUCAAUGGACGAGAGUCUGAACCAGCCAAGUAGCGUGAAGGAUGACUGCCCUAUGGGUUGUAAACUUCUUUUAUAUGGGAAUAAAACGUUCCACGUGUGGGAUUUUGUAUGUACCAUAUGAAUAAGGAUCGGCUAACUCCGUGCCAGCAGCCGCGGUAAUACGGAGGAUCCGAGCGUUAUCCGGAUUUAUUGGGUUUAAAGGGAGCGUAGGUGGAUUGUUAAGUCAGUUGUGAAAGUUUGCGGCUCAACCGGAAAAUUGCAGUUGAAACUGGCAGUCUUGAGUACAGUAGAGGUGGGCGGAAUUCGUGGUGUAGCGGUGAAAUGCUUAGAUAUCACGAAGAACUCCGAUUGCGAAGGCAGUUCACUGGACUGCAACUGACACUGAGGCUCGAAAGUGUGGGUAUCAAACAGGAUUAGAUACCCCUGUAGUC